UCCCGAUCCAGCCACAAAUUUUCUCCGUGUAUGUCUAUUUGAGACUGAGUUGGAAAAUUACGGUAUCUUCAUAGUGACAAACUAAUGAAAAUAUUGAUCAAAUUCGACUGGUCAAGGACUGUUAAUAUAAAUAAAUUUGAAACAUUGGUCAUUGUAAUGAUUGGUUUCAUGUUAUACUAAGCUUGUGUUUCAAGACAAGGCUGUCUUUGUUGGUGAUGAUACUGAUGUAUAUAUUUAGAAACAAGUAAUGCUUUGAUUUUGAUUACAGGUGUGGUCUUUAAAAAAAUUAAUGCAUGGCAAGGUUGAUAGUGAGACUAAUAAAUUCUUUGAGCAGAAUUCAGCUAGACACAAAAAAAAAAAGACAAUCACCACAGCCUUCCAAGAAGAUGGACUGCCUCACAAUAGUUUCCUUGAGGACUGUCUUGAAAUAUCCAGAGUUUAAGAUUCAAGAAACGGACUCUAUCUGGAAAAGGAAAACAAUAUCAAAGCUCCUCUGUGAGAAGUUGGCCAAGGAAAGCAUUCAGAAGAAAAUGGAGAUUCAUUGUUUUUACCAGAUCCAGCAGAUCACAGAAAGCAUCUAGUAGGGGAGGUCUACAGAUCGAAGCAUGCCAAACGUGUAAAGAACAAGUUUCCAGGAUUAAAGCAGCCAGUAGAUGAGACUAUCAUAUCAAAAAUACAUUUACUUGUUCACGAGGGCACACAAAGCGUUGAUGAAACAAAAAGACAUUUCCGUCUGUUUGUAAAGGAUACUAUUUCACCAGGGAACACCAUCUCAGAAUUUAACAGAUGCUUUUACCCCGCCAAUAAGGAUGUAAGAAAUCACAUUUACAGGGCACCGAGAUUUUGCCAGGUAGUUUAGAACUGUGUGCAUUGGUUUUGGAAGAAUUUGGGCUGUUUAGGCUAAAAUCUAUUAUGAUUGGACAGAAUAUGAACACACACAUCCAAUACUUCAAAGAUAUUAUGUUUGUGGAGGCAGAGAUUUUGAUUGCAUCCACUGUUUAGAAUACAUCCUUAAGGGAAGCAGACUGCCGCCUUUACCCAAUGAUAUAAUGAUUAAUCAUAACUAUAUCUGUUUUGUACCAAAUAGAAAGAGCAUUGAUUCAGGUCAUUUUCAAAUCCACUGGCAUACAUUGUACUAUACAUGCAACCUUUUCAAACUUUACAUUUAAGAUUUUAUAAAGGAAAUAUCUUAAUGUUUCACAUGUUUACCUUUCACUGUGCUAUGUAAUUCAUUAUACCUGCCAUUAUGCCAGUCUUCCUGAACAUAAUUUGUUUUCUGCAAUUCCAUUGGCCAAGAGGCUUAAUCCUGGGUUAUCAGAUUGAGCAUUUAUAUUUAGUAUCCCAUUGAUUUUGUCAGCCGUAUAUAAAGAGGUGACUCAGAUUUACUCACUCUGCUAGGUUAAAGAACUCUAAGGUUUAUACUUUUCACAUGAAUUUCGUGUUCGCCUCUUAUCUUUUACAUAGAGUAGGAAAUGAACAUAACAUUGAGUUAGGGAACUAUUUAGAUUUUACAUUAUAAUAUGUAAAUACCUUAGCAGAGUCAAUUUACUUGGUUCAGGGUAGUAUCAGAUAUUACUUUUUCAGAGUUUAAGUGUUUAGACUAUCUCAAUGUUUCUAUAGUUAGCCUUGUCCUAUGUUACUUUUAGAUGUAUGGAAGCCUUUUAGUGUUAUAACACUAUAUUUAUGCCCCCAUUCAAAGAAGAGGGGCAUAUUGGUUUGCACCUGUUGGUCGGUCGGUAGACCACAUGUUGUCCGCUUAAUAUCUUAAGAACCAUUCACUUGAUCGUAAUAUAUUUCAUAUGUGGGUUGGUUAUGAAAAGAAGAGGACCCCAAUUGUUUUUCAGGUCGAAAUGUCAAGGGUCAAUCUACUCUGGACAUAGGAAGACACUGCCUGCUCAAUAUCUUGAGAACCCUUUGCUUGACAGACAUCAAACUUGGUACACUGGUACAUCUCAAGGAGUAGAUUUGAGGUCAUAUGGUCAAAAGUCAAGGGGUAAACUGGACAUAGUAAUAUAAGUUGUCUCUUAUGUUUUAAGAAUUAUUUGCUUGAUUGACACCAAACCUGGUACAGCAUAAGGAGUAGAUGACCCCUAUUGAUUUUUAGGUCACUUGGUCAAUCCACUCCUGACAUAGGAAGAUAUUGUUUGCUCAAUAUUUCGAAUUGAUGAUACUACUAUCAAUCAAAUUAUGCAUGUGUAUAACCCUUUUCAAUUUUGCACCAUGGGGGCUUAUAUGUUUUACAAACACCUCAUGUUUUAUAGUUUGUGAAAGCUUGUUAGGGUCAUAACUUUAGAUUUUCUUAUUAUGGUACUUGCCCGUCAGAGACUGGACAUAUUAUGGUAUGGUGUUGUCUGUCCGGACCUUGUAAGAUGGGAUACAGACUGAACCGUAAGCUCCAGAAUCUUACAACUUGGUACAUUUGAUCACCAUAAAAGGAAGAUGCUUAUUGUUUUUUAAGGUCAAGGUUGUAGGUUCACUUAAUAGGAAAACCUUGUUUGAGAAAAUUACAGAUUCUUGAACUGAGUAUUUUGAGGAAACAUUACAUAGAAAGUACAUGAUUUGUCAAAUUUCUCCCAAUAUUCAACUGAGAACCUUAUUCUGCAGAGUAUUUGUAUGGGUAUGGAAAAUGUGUAUGUGGCUAUGAUUUUGAUUUUUGUUUAAUUUUUUUUUUUUUUUUGAAAAUUACAGGUUUAACCGAGUCAGUUUUUGAGGAAAUAUACAUGUAUUAAAUAAAUGACGGUUUGACCUUUUAACUCCUCUCACAGUUUUGAAGCUAGGGUCUUUAUAAAUAACUUCUUUGGUGUGUUAGAAUAUUUACAGAUUGUUGAUCAUGGUCAAUUUUGGGGAAAUAUUUUCCGCAGAGCUCUAGUUGUCUAUCUACCGGCCUCCUGUCACUUUUAAGUUUAGGAGCUUUUAUUCAUGGAAAGAAAGUAUGUGACAGCCUGAUGAUGGCUGAUACUAUUUAAAGCCUUUUUAUACGCCCGUCUUAAGACGGGACGUAUUAUGGUAUGGCGUUCAUGCCCGUCCGUCUGUUAGCUUUUUCGUGUCCGACCCGUAACUUAAAUACUACAAGGCCUAGAAUCAUCAAACUUUGUCUGUAGAUACAUCUUGGGUAGAAGGUGUGUCGCACAUUAAAACCAGGUCACUGUGACUUUUCAUUAAGAAGAUAUGGCCAUAUAUGGCAAAAACUUGUCCGGCUCAUAACUUGAAAACUAUUAGACCUAGAAUCACCAAAAUUGGUCAACUAAUGCAUCUUAGGUAGAAGGUGUGUCGCAUCCUACUUUAAUGUCACUGUGACAUUUAAUUAAGGUGAUAUAAAUAAAAAUGUUUUAAUGGGUACAAUCUAUACUGUUAACAAUAUGUGACGGGCGUAUCAUGUGCCGUGGCGGUGCACUUUAUUCUAGAAAUGGCAUCAGAAAAACACCCUAUGUAACCUUUUCUGCUUGUACUCAUUUAUUUUUAUUGGAAAACUUAUUACUUGUUAUCAGCUACUCUAAAACAAUAUUGACUUGUGCUAUAAUAAAUUUGUAAACUUUA